CCGGCUGCAGGAGCUGUGCUCGGAGCAGGGGCGGCUCCUCCGGAGGCUGAGGGCCAGGAAGGGACCGGCCCUGGACAUCCCAGUGUCGCUGCCUGUCCAGUGCACGGAGGAUGUGGGGACAGGGGAUGGACAGAGGUCACCUGAGAGCCACCAAAACCCCCCAGGAGCUCCGACCUCCUCCACACCCCACCUGGAGGGCUCUGCCUGUCCCAUGGGACAGCUCUGGGCCACCAAGAGGCUCCCCCUGAGCCCUGGGCACGGCCCAGGGGCUGCAGCAGCCACAGGAGCCGCAGGUCCCGGCAGCACCAAGGAGGACAAGGGGGAAGCGCCAGCCUGCAGGAGAACCUGGAUCCUCCCGGUGCCCUGGGAAGGAGGGAGAGCUCCCCACAGCCCUCAGGAGAUGGAGACACUAAACCCAGGGCCUGGGGACUCCUUCCCAAAUCUUCUGGAUGUCUACGAAGCCGCUGAAGCUCUUGAGAGGGAAGAGGCUGCCAGGGAUGUGGCUCUGGUGGAGAUCCGAGGGCCUGUGAAGACCUGCUGGACUCCGGGCUGGGUGCUGGAGGAGGGAAUGCUGAGCCCCAGCGCUGAGGCUGCCCCAGGCUGUGAGCUGUGCCAGGAGAUUCUGCCCUCGGAGGCAGCGGGACACACGGGAUAUCUGAGCCACCUUCUGCUCCACCUUGAGUAGGACAUGUCCUCCCAGUGGGAAAUCCAUGGAUCUGCACCCUGAGCCACGGGACAGAAUCUGGACAUGUCCCAUCUCCAUGGGGGACAGACCCUGGACAUCUCCGGGAGACAGACCCUGGACAUUUCCACAGGACAGACUUUGGACAUUUCUACAGGACAGACUCUGGACAUUUCCCAUGGGACAGACUCUGGACAUUUCCACAGGACAGACUCUGGACAUUUCCCAUGGGACAGACUCUGGACAUUUCCCAUCUCCAUGGACCAGCCCCAGCGCUGAGGCUGCCCCAGGCUGUGAGCUGUGCCAGGAGAUUCUGCCCUUGAAGGCAGCGGGACACACGGGAUAUCUGAGCCACCUUCUGCUCCACCUCAAGUAGGACUCAUCUUCCUAAUGGGAAAUCCAUGGAUUUGCACCCUGAGCCACGGGACAGACUCUGGACAUUUCCCAUUUCCACAGGACAGACUCUGGACAUUUCCCAUUUCCAUGGGACAGAUUCUGGACAUUUCCAAUGGGACAGGCUCUGGACAUUUCCCAUCUCCACAGGACAGACUCUGGACAUUUCCAAGGAAAGACUCCGGACAUUUCCACAGGACAGACCCUGGACAUUCUAGACAUUUCCCAUCUCCAUGGAACAGACUCAGG
rnacentral:lncRNA from 1 species